rnacentral:rRNA from 1 species
CGGGGGGAGCAAGCGUUGUUCGGAUUUACUGGGCGUAAAGGGCGCGUAGGCGGCGCAACAAGUCACUUGUGAAAUCUCCGGGCUUAACCCGGAGCGGCCAAGUGAUACUGUCGUGCUAGAGUGCGGAAGGGGCUACUGGAAUUCUCGGUGUAGCGGUGAAAUGCGUAGAUAUCGAGAGGAACACCUGCGGCGAAGGCGGGUAGCUGGGCCGACACUGACGCUGAGGCGCGAAAGCCAGGGGAGCGAACGGGAUUAGAUACCCCGGUAGUCCUGGCCUUAAACGAUGGAUGCUUGGUGUCCGGGGUUACAUAGUCCCCGGGUGCCGGCGCUAACGCACUAAGCAUCCCGCCUGGGGAGUACGGUCGCAAGACUG